AGAGUUUGAUCCUGGCUCAGGACGAACGCUGGCGGCGUGCUUAACACAUGCAAGUCGAACGGAAAGGCCUGCCACCUUGGUGGUGGGUACUCGAGUGGCGAACGGGUGAGUAACACGUGGGUGAUCUGCCCCGCACUGUGGGAUAAGCCUGGGAAACUGGGUCUAAUACCACAUACGACCAUGGCGUAGGGGUCAUGGUGGAAAGCUUUUGCGGUGUGGGAUGAGCCCGCGGCCUAUCAGCUUGUUGGUGGGGUAAUGGCCUACCAAGGCGGCGACGGGUAGCCGGCCUGAGAGGGUGGACGGCCACAUUGGGACUGAGACACGGCCCAGACUCCUACGGGAGGCAGCAGUGGGGAAUAUUGCACAAUGGGCGCAAGCCUGAUGCAGCGACGCCGCGUGGGGGAUGACGGCCUUCGGGUUGUAAACUCCUUUCGCCCGGGACGAAGCCCACCUUGGUGGGUGACGGUACCGUGGAGAAGAAGCACCGGCUAACUACGUGCCAGCAGCCGCGGUAAUACGUAGGGUGCAAGCGUUGUCCGGAUUUACUGGGCGUAAAGAGCUCGUAGGUGGUGUGUCGCGUCGUCUGUGAAAUUCCGGGGCUUAACUCCGGGCGUGCAGGCGAUACGGGCACGACUAGAGUGCUGUAGGGGUAACUGGAAUUCCUGGUGUAGCGGUGAAAUGCGCAGAUAUCAGGAGGAACACCGAUGGCGAAGGCAGGUUACUGGGCAGUUACUGACGCUGAGGAGCGAAAGCAUGGGGAGCGAACAGGAUUAGAUACCCUGGUAGUCCAUGCUGUAAACGGUGGGCGCUAGGUGUGGGCUGUGUGUUUGCAGUCUGUGCCGUAGCUAACGCAUUAAGCGCCCCGCCUGGGGAGUACGGCCGCAAGGCUAAAACUCAAAGGAAUUGACGGGGGC
rnacentral:rRNA from 1 species